rnacentral:tRNA from 1 species
AUUUAAGUAGUUUAAUUAAAAAUAUUAAUUUGUGGGAUUAAAGAUAUAAAAAUAAUUUAUUUUAAAUU